rnacentral:rRNA from 1 species
AUACGGAGGAUGCGAGCGUUAUCCGGAUUUAUUGGGUUUAAAGGGAGCGUAGGUGGGAUAUUAAGUCAGCUGUGAAAGUUUGGGGCUCAACCUUAAAAUUGCAGUUGAUACUGGUUUCCUUGAGUACGGUACAGGUGGGCGGAAUUCGUGGUGUAGCGGUGAAAUGCUUAGAUAUCACGAAGAACUCCGAUCGCGUAGGCAGCUCACCGGGCCGGAACUGACACUGAUGCUCGAAAGUGCGGGUAACAAACAGGAUUAGAUACCCUGGUAGUCCGCACAGUAAACGAUGAAUACUCGCUGUUUGCGAUACACUGUAAGCGGCCAAGCGAAAGCGUUAAGUAUUCCACCUGGGGAGUACGCCGGCAACGGUGAAACUCAAAUGAAUUGACGGGG